rnacentral:lncRNA from 1 species
AAAGGGUUGUGAAGGGGACCCUAUGAAAUACUAUAAUUAUUUUGAGGCAAUUUCAUUCAGAAGACAAUAAUAAGAAUAUAUAUCUCUGUUAGAACUUGAACUAAGAAGUAUUAGUAUUUUUGUGACUCUUUCUGUAAAAUGGCUAUGCAGCUUUGAGUACCUGUACCCUGCUAUAAAUGAUGAUAGGACAAACAAAUGCAGCCAAGUUUCUUGACCAGGAUAAAUUUUUGGGGGGUUAUUUUUGUUGUUUGGAUUUAUUUUGGAAUUAAGGCAAAAGAAAAAGUUAUGACUGAGAAAGGGAAUUAAGACUUGUUGCACUUGCUUGUAGAGAAAUCUUAUUCAGUCUGUGGGUUAGCCAGUUCUUGAUCACAAAACUAGGCUGUAUAACAUCUGUGUAAAGGAGAGUGCUGUUGGGAGGAAUGGGUUAAAAGCAGAAGAUUGUUGAAGAGGGUGGGAUCAGAACAGAAGACUGGUGAGGAGGAUUGUAAAUACACUCAAGUGACCUUGCAGCUGGGAAUACAUGAAGUCUGGGGAGCAACAAUGUAGAAAAGCAUAUAAAUUAUGCCUGCUGCUGUUUGUGCUCUCUGUGUUUGGCAAGUAGCACACCUGUGCAUAGAUAAUGUAGGUCUUUGGAGGACUUGGAGGUGCCCUAUCAGAUGUACUUAAGCUCCCAGCCUUGGUACAGAGAUCAAAGAAGCACAGUGAGAAUCACGGUGUAGUGGUAAAAACUGCACCUGUGUGAACUCUUGAUAAAAACAGGUGAAACUAGCAGGCUGGUGAUCUCCUAGAAUGGACUCAGUUUAGUGGUUCCUGCAUUAUUACUUGUGUGCCUGUACUCCUGUAUCUCUGCUUGGGUGCUGCUUCAGGGAUCCCCCAGUUGAAUUACAAUACAAUAUUUCACCUUUCCAGAAGCUUCUAUUUGACUGAAAUUGUAGCAGCCAGGAAAAGACAAAUAAGCAUCUUUCUCACUUUGCUGUACAAUCACCCCUUGUUGAAGAAAUACAGUAUAACAUGGUGUAACAAGAGGAUAACUUCAAGAAAUCGAGAUCCAGGAAGAAACUAUAGUGUGUUGCUAGAUUUGUUUUGAUCAGAACCUACUGUCUAUAUGCUGUAAUAGGACCCACUGCAGUUUUCAGAAGGUGAGCAUGCUGAUUGGAUGACCUGGCUAGUACUAACCAUAGUUGCACUGCAGAGAUUGGUUUAGCAUAUUCAUACUAAAUCCAAAUGAAAAAGCAUUUUAAAUGACUUACAUUGAUUUGUCAGCCUGGAGUCAAGUAUAAGACAUUAUUUUUUCAAGUUUAGUGUAACUUGAACUAGAUGUCUUCAGCUGCAGGUGAACUUGAACA